AUGUCUUGCUCGGCCUUUGGGCUAUGAUCAAGUGUAGUAUGUGUUGAGACUUCUCAGCAUUUUAAAGUAUUUUUGGGUUUUAUCUCGCGAUAUUAUUGAUAAUAUCGGGAUAUAUUGCCCAAAUAAUGCAUUAAAAUGCUGAUAAUAUCGACAAA
rnacentral:snRNA from 1 species